rnacentral:rRNA from 1 species
CAGCAGCCGCGGUAAUACCAGCUCUCCGAGUUGUGGGGAUGUUUAUUGGGCCUAAAGCAUCCGUAGCCGGCUGGACAAGUCCUCUGUUAAAUCCAGCGACUAAUCGUUGGUCUGCGGGGGAUACUGUCCGGCUAGGGGGCGGGAGAGGCCGUCGGUAUUCUUGGGGUAGGGGUGAAAUCCUAUAAUCCCAGGAGGACCACCAGUGGCGAAGGCUGUCGGCUAGAACGCGCCCGACGGUGAGGGAUGAAAGCUGGGGGAGCGAACCGGAUUAGAUACCCGGGUAGUCCCAGCUGUAAACGAUGCAGGCUAGGUGUUAGGGCGGCUACGUGCCGCUCUAGUGCCGCAGGGAAGCUGUUAAGCCUGCCGCCUGGGGAGUACGGCCGCAAGGCUGAAACUCAAAGGAAUUGACGG